UACGGGGGGAGCAAGCGUUGUUCGGAUUUACUGGGCGUAAAGGGCGCGUAGGCGGCCACUGCAAGUCAGUUGUGAAAUCUCCGGGCUUAACCCGGAAGGGUCAACUGAUACUGCAGGGCUAGAGUGCAGAAGGGGCAACUGGAAUUCUCGGUGUAGCGGUGAAAUGCGUAGAUAUCGAGAGGAACACCUGCGGCGAAGGCGGGUUGCUGGGCUGACACUGACGCUGAUGUGCGAAAGCUAGGGGAGCGAACGGG
rnacentral:rRNA from 1 species